rfam:Rhodococcus sp. RD6.2 genome assembly, contig: RHCRD62_Contig_6
AGGGCGACGGGGUCCACACCGCGGGUGACGGUGAGGUAGUCGCGCAUCACGAUGCCGUGCCGGUUCUC